AAAGAAGCAUCAGAGGCGCUACGGUCAUCGAAGCGCCUGCGUGUGUGCCUCUGCAAUGGCCUGGCACGCUUGCACGAUGACAACUAGUGUACCUGCUCACAUGGGCCCGACGCGUCCUGCACUGCGGCGAGCACAAGUGUCUCUUACCCUCUGCGUGCUGCAUCGCAGUGUGCAUGUCGACGGUAGCGGCUUGCUGGUCUGCAGGCGCAGCGUUGGGUUGCAUCACUUUAGUGACACCGUCACCGUAGCGCGGCGGCAUGUCAACGAGCGACCCUUUCAAGAGCUUCCAGAGGAUGUGUCUCAGGGCGAGGCAUACGCCGUGGCGCGGGACGCGCUGCUGCAGCUGAACGUUAUGCUCCACCGCGGCAUCGAACCAGAUGUGCUCAUGUACACGUUGCUCAUCUCCACCAUGGGUCGUGCUGGCCUUGAGUGGCAGGCGUACAAGCUCUUCUCUCGCAUGAUCGAGCAGAACAUUCAGCCGCUGCCCGAGACGUACGUGGCAUUGCGCGAUGCCACCUCGAGGCAGCGCGUGGCUCUGCGGGAGCAAAUCCAAACCAAAAUUGAGGAGGCAGUGGACGUGUUCCCGGAAGAGCUGGCCAGGGCGGAGCGUGAGCGGCAAAGGGAAGAAGACCGACGCUGCAUCGCCAAGUUCAACGAGUACAUGCGUGGGGUGCUGCCCGCUACAACUUCGAGUACGCCAGUGUCAGCGCCGUCGCUGACUGCCGCGGGUGCUGCACCCGAAGCUGAAGGGACACCGUCUGGGGAUUGCGCUGGCGCACCCUCGGGCGCAUCCGAAGCACGUACAGCCUCAUCCAGCGGUACCAUCGCCACCAUGCACAUCCGAAAUCCCACAGAUGCAUGGAACACGACACAGAUGGCACAAGAUGUGCGCAGCCAUGCGCAAUCCACGGCAAAAGGUAACACUGCUGUUGAGCUGCGCGUGUCUCUUGAGCGUAUGGACGAGGAGGAGCUGCGUAUCUACCUGGCCGCGCAGCGCCAGCUCCGUCACGGCACAAAGACGCAGCUUAUCGAUCGCGUCCUGAAAACCGUGAGUGCAAGCUCGAUUCGUGCCAUGCUGGACCGUCGGUGCCACUAUUUUCGCUCCGUGGAGCAAAUCCUAGCCGCCGACCUGCGGCAGCUGAACAUGUCGGAGCCCUCCGAUAUCACGCCGGUGUCGAAUGCAGACGCCGGCGCCCGUGCAGAUGCCGCGCAGGACCGAACUCUGGGGAACGCGGAGAAGGAUUCUUUGACACCGGAGGUUCUCUACGCCCCCUGGGGCAUCCUGCGAAAGCCUCAGCGCCGCUGCAAAGAGCCGGCGGUACCUCGCAACGCGGAGCGACUGGAGCGCGUUCGCUUGUCUGAGCCGGAGUUGCUUCUCAUUCACAGCAAGGCGGGGACGAACGACCUGGAUGAGCUGCCAGAGUCCUUGCUCCGGCGCUACGCUUACCAGUUUCAGCUGCGCUGGCGCCGCAAGGAGGGGGCGGCGUCACUCCUACAAGCGGUGCAGUGGCACGUGACCACGUAUGUGGGAAGCGCGCUGCAGAAUGGAGGCGAGGGGGCAGACGCAGGCGAUUUGCUUGCAUCUCCGGCACCUACGCCACCGAUUCGGUUGCAAAAAGAGGCGGAGGGUAUGCGGGAGACACUCGAGAACUACGAAGCUUUUCGCGUGAUCGCGCAGCGCACGAACAAUCUACAAGUGGUCGAUAGCAAGGAGAUCAAUCGACACCUGCAACACGUGCGCCAGGAUGCCAUGCGGCGCGAGCGCAAGAUGGAGAACGCGCUCCGUCGAGAGCGACAUGUAAUGGAGGCGGCUGGGAUCGCUGCGUCCGCCAAGUCGUUCACGCCAACACCCACAGAGAAUGGCGGAGAGAUGCAGGUGCUCGGGGUCGCCGCGAGGACGCCUCUCGGCGGCGCAGGCCAAGACGUGGUGCUGGAACCCACCUCCUCACAGUCGUCAGCGUUGGUGGAGUCGCAGAGCCACUGCGGUGGCGGCGAGGCGACUGGUAAAGGAGAGGACGGGGCUACUGCGAGCGAGCUGCCGCCGUGGGCGCUGUUCGAGGAGGAGGACGAGUUCAACUUGUCCUCUGGUCACUUUGGUGACCCCGAGGUGGGCCGAUUCCAGGAGCUGAGCGACUCGAGGAUGCAGGUGUUGCCGUCCCGCACCGCUCAGGCGCAAUGGUCCGUCGACCGUCAGCUGCUCCCCACCUCACUCAAGGAUAUUGUACAGGAGGCGGAGCUGGAGCAGCAGCGGAGGCGCGAGGUGAUCGAGAAGGAGUACGAGCGUCGCCUGCAGUACACCAGGUACCGCAAGUGGGACCGCAUGAUCUCCAAAGCUCAGCAGAAGCGGCGACGGCAGGCGCAGGACGACAGAGAAGAGGAGGAGGCGAGAGUUGCGGUGAAGCCACUGCCGGCCAAGCGCCGGCUCGCACAGUUGCUGCGCAAAGGUCGGGAUAGGCAGAAGGUGUCUGCCGCAGUGCUGGCCAAGUACAACCGCAGUCUGUAAAAGGGCGCUACACUGCUCCGCUGCACGCACACGCAGAGACACCUUCGUUGUCCCCGUUAUCAUCUUCAUCUCUGUUGUCUGGGAGAGUGUCGACCAUCCGGCGGCGGCGCCGCGCUUUUUGCUCGCUGCUGUCCAAUGCUUCUUUUUUUCUUCUUUGCAAGGCUCACGGAAGGGGACCGACAUACCAGACAAGGAGCGAGGGGAAAGGAGGAUCAGCGCGAUGUGUCGAUGGGGGGUGAGUGAGGUGGCGGCUGAUCGCACUUGCAGCUGCUCGUGGCUGUGAGCCGGUGGCCAGUUGAACAACAAUAAUAAGGCUGAAUUUCCCUUUUGCCCUCUUUCCGUGCGUGUGUGUGCGCGUGUGGAUGAGGGAUGGCAUGCGUGGUGACAGCACAGAUGGCGCGUCCUCGCUUCAUCAUCUUGUACCGGAUUAUCCCCAGAAACACGGCGCCGAUAGCGGUGCUUCUCUUGCUUGUUGCUCUGCAUACACCCACUCAUUUGCACGUGCACGUCCGACAUCCCCUUUCCACCUUGACGCGUAGUUGAUUUCCAUAAGCUACGUAAGGCUCCACGAAAACGCUUCAACU
rnacentral:misc_RNA from 1 species